rnacentral:lncRNA from 1 species
AGAAAUGGCAAAAAAAGACAAAAAAAAAAUUAAUUUAUAAAUGUCACACAUUUCUCAAAUACAUUUUGAUGUCAUCAUUUUUGAAAUUGGAAAAAAUACAACAAACAUUUCUGAAAAAUAAAACAGGAAUUAUUAGGAAUUUUUUAGGAGAAACAAUAAGAUAGAAGCAUCCCUGUUUCUUUAAAUGAAGGUUUCUAUGAGACCUUCAGUUAGAAUAUACAUUUAUAGGGAAUUCCCAUCGCAGCUCAGCAGAAAAGAGCCUGACUAGCAUUCAUGAGGACACAGGUUUGAUUCCUGGCCUCUCUUAAUGGGUUAAGGAUCCAGCAUUGCUGUGAGCCGUGGUGUAGGUCCCAGAUGUGGCUUGGAUUCCGCAUUGCUGUGGCUGUGGCAUAGGCCAGCAAUUAUAGCUCUAAUUCAACCCCUAGCCUGGGAACCUUCAUCUGCUGUGGGCAUGGCCCUAAAAAAAAAAAAAAAGAACAAAUAUAUAUACAUUUACAGUUAUUAAAAAAUAGUUUGGUAUCAACAGGGAGAUGUAGCAAAAAUGUUAACAAUGGUUAUUUCUGGUUUCCAAGUCAUUUUCUUUUCCUUUAGAUAUAUUUUUACAGCUUUGCUAUAAUUAAGAUGUUUUACUUACUACAAAUGAGAGAAAUUUGAAACAUGCAGAACAAGGAAAUAAAGUGAUUUUAUAGCAACAAAAAUUCUAAUAAAGUAUCAUACAAUUAUAAACUAUUUUGUAAAUUAAAUCAACGAAGAAUUUUUAAAUGCUUACCAUGUUCUAGACACACAGCAACCCUCUAGCUUCUUAUUCUUAAGUAUAAAGAUCAACAUUUUCCUGAUUUCUGGAUGCUUGGGGCAGCUUUUGAAAAUGCCUAGAUGAGAAGGGUUUGCCGUGUUCGGGAACAUGAAUGCAGCACUGGAGACAUCCAUUCCCUUCAGCUCCAGCCAUAUGGCUCCUCUUUAAAUCCGUCAACACAGGGACUAUUCUCUGUUCAAGCUUCCUUAACACUAUUGUGUCCAAUAUUGUAAUGCUUGUGGGUAAUCGCCCAAGUGUGAAAGUAAGUGGGAGGAUUCAUUACUGGGGCUAGAAGAAAUGAAGUUAAUCUGUCACGAAAUCAUAGGUAACUUGGUUUUCUUUUGUGCCUCUCAAAUCCAUCCAGUUUGUCUACUUUACUGGGGACACUUCAGUUUGUCUAUUUUAUCGGGGACAACUGCAACAGACUUUCUCCGGUUUUCUUAUUUGAAAGUGUAAUGUGUAUACGAGAUUACCCUGUGAAGCCUGUCUAGUGAAUAGACUACAGUGAGAAGAUGUAGAUGAGUGCAGUGUGAGUUCCAGCCCUCCUGGAGCUUUGCCUUGUGUAGUAGGUAAAAUUAUGACAAUUACAGCAUCUUGCUGGGGCCAAUUUCCUCACCUAUAAAAAUAAAAGUGUUCAAAGAGAACUGGUGUUUAUUUCUUUAUUUAUUAUUUUUAAAAUUUUCUUUUUACAUGCACAUGUGGCAUACGGAAGUUCCUAGGCUAGGGGUUGAAUCUGAGCUGCAGCUUCAGGGCUACACCACAGCCACAGGCAUGCCAGAUCUGAGCCACAUCUGCAACCUACACGGCAGCUUGUGGCAACACUGAAUCCUGAACCCACUGAGUGAGGCUAGGGGUCCAACCCACAUCCUCGUGUAUACUAGUCGGGUUCUUAAUCCCCUGAGCCUCAAUAGGAACUCCCAAAGAGAACUUUUAUAAUUACUUUUUUCUCUACUGGUAUUACUAAUAAAAUUCUUCAAAUGGAGUUACUACUUUAACUUCUGAUUUGUUAAUUGUUAAUUUUUAAAGAUGAUUCACAUGAUUUCUCAAAAUGAAAUAUAAAAUGUGGUCUUUCAGAGAAAGAGAGAAAAAUUCCAUCAUGGGAGGAAAGUAAAGCAAUUGUGUGAAUUCCAAGUGAGGGAUCAAUUUCAUAUGUGUCUUAUUUUUCUUCCUCCUUCUCUUCUACCCUCUCCUCCAUCCCUUCUUCCAUCUUCUCCUCCUCCUUCAUUAUGGCUAAAGAUCUAAGAUCCUGGAAGUGGUGUGAGACUUUCUAAAUCUUUGGAAUUUCUUAUUAUAAUAUAUUUGUUAUAUUCAUAGAGGGUUUUACUAUUUUGACAAGAGAUAUUUAGGCUACUUGCCAGAGGCAUUGGCAAAUGACAAUUCUAAGCAGGUUUACAACUUCCUAAUGGAAAGCAACAUCUUUUGAUGCAUAAGAGAUCAAAAUAGAGCAUUUAUUUUCAUGGGUUGUUUAUGAGCACCAUUGUAGAGAUGUGUAAUGAAGAAUCAAGUAUAAAUGCAAUGGAGUCCAAGCCUUGCUGGAUGCUGCUUCUAUGCACAGCAGGGGUGAUGUCUCCCAACUGUAGAUAUGCUUUUUCUAAGAUCCUUGACCCCAUUUUAGCCCCCCAGGGUACAUCCUUAACAGAGUGAGAACACCCGCCCCCCUUCCACUGGUUUCCGUUUUCCAGUAGUUGUGAAUGAGGAAUGAAGGGGGCACUCAGCCCCGGUUAUUUCAUAAAUGAAUAUUAAAGUCAAGUAUUAAUUGACAUGACUUUUUUUUUUCUUUCACCCUGUAAUUGAAGUGCAUUUAUCCUUUCCCCCAUCAAUAUAAAAUAAAAUAAUUGCCCAAUUAGCAAGAAAUUAUUUUGGGAACGACUAAUUUGAGGAUCUAUUAAGUCUGUACUAACACUUUGCUCUGUCAACUGGAAUAAAAAAAUUAAAUGUCAAAAAAAAAAUGUGAGAGGGAGUUGCCUGAACAAGGUCAGCCUAUCUGAAAUAGGUUACAGCAGGAGGAAAACAACAUGCAGUUUUGUCAAGACUGGCAUGAUAAAUGGAAAGGGACAGGAGUUCAACUUGGACAACACAGGAUCGGAGAGGAACCAGAGAAGCAUGACCGCCUUUCCCUCCCAGCACUGCUUUGCAACCACGUCUGCCUGUAAAGAUGCGAAGCGGCUGCUGUCUCAAGUUUAGUCAGUAUCAGGGGGUCUCAGCUUCCUUCCUCCAGUCCUGCUGACUGGGAUCACAAGUGACAGUGCCUGGCACUUUUGUUGUCAGCCUGGGUGGCAUGAUUAGAUGUGGAACGUCGAAAUACUGACCUCUCAUUUCCCGCUGGCUUUGGGAAAAGGGCGGUGCCUAGCUUCUCCCUUACAAAAAAAUGAAGUGGAACUGAAUCUUCUUACUGAUGUGAAAGAGAAUAAGGAUCCCAAUCAAACUUUUCAUUCUUUUUAAAAAUUUAUUUCAUUGAAUUUUAGUUGAUUUGCAGUGUUGUCUUAAUCUCUACUGUACAACAAAGUGAUUCAGCUAUGCAUUUGUAUACAUUCUUUUUCAAAUCCUUUUCCAUUACAGUUUAUCACCGGAUAUUGAAUAGAGUUCCUUGUGCUCUACAGUAGGACCUUGUUGUUGAUCCAUCCUAUGUAUAAUAGUUUGCAUCUUCUAAUCCCAAACCCAAUCCUUCUCUCCCCAACUCCUUCUUCCCCUUGGCAACCACAAGUCUGUUCUCUGUCUGUGAGUCUGUUUCAUUCUUGCAUAUGAGGGGCAAGAAUGAAACAGACUUUAAAUAUUAUUUUAUUUAAAGUUUUGGAAUUCCCACUGUGGCUCAGUGGUAAUGAACCCAGCUAAUAUCCAUGAGGAUGCAGGUUCAAUCUCUGGCCCGCUCAGUGGAUUAGGAUCCGGCACAUUGCUGUGAGCUGCUGUGUAGGUUGCAGACACGGCUCAUAUCCAUGCACCUAAAUGCAGUUGCUGUGGCUGUGGUGUAGGCCAGCAGUUGCAGCUCCAAUUCAACCCCUAGUCUAGGGAUUUCCAUAUUCGGUGGGUGCAUCCCAAAACAAGUAACUCCUUUCCCCUUUGUUCCUUUGUUUUAUGUUUCUGAGUGUUAGUUUUGCUUUCUUAUUUCAUCAUGGCUUUAAAGUUUUGACUUCUAAUCUCAUACAGUGAUGAUCCCCUCAGCUUCAGUGUGAAUGAGAUUUAGCAUAUUCUUCUAGGGUUUGACAGGGCGAUGUAUUUGGAUAGAUUCCCUUAGUUGGGAACAAGGGUAUAUCACUAUUAAAAAAAAAAGAAAUCUAGUACUUCUUGAUUUCAGAAAUAAAUUGUCUGGACAAUAUACAUCUCAACAUGCUUUUUUUUUCUUUACGUAAUAUCCAGUUUAACAGUUGUUUCAUCUUACUAGCAGGCACAAAAGGUCAAGUUCUGUUAAAUAAUCGAGCUGAUUUUUAUUUUCCUUCUUAGUUGUUCAAUGGUAUUAUUGAACUGCAACAUCGACUGCUUAUUUUCGAAUCACGUAGAUGUUCGAAGCCAGUGAUUCCCCUUAUCUCUUCCAAAACUUUUCCUCUGGGAAGAUGUCUUUUGAGAUCAUCUCUAAUCUAGAUGACCUUAGGUAUGGUGAUAUAUUUUUAGAAAUAACAUCAAAGAUGCCAUCCAUGAAAGAAGUAAUUGAUAGGCUAGGUUUCAUUAAAAUUAAGAAUUUCUAUUUGGGGGUUCCUGCUGUGACACAGUAGGUUAAUGAUCUUGUGUAUCCCUGUAGAGGUGUCAAUUCAGUCCCCAGCCCAGCAGAUUCAGUCAUUGGCCUUGGAACUUGCAUAUACCAUGGGUAUGC